GAUGAACGCUGGCGGCGUGCCUAAUACAUGCAAGUCGAGCGAACAGAUGAGGAGCUUGUUCCUCUGACGUUAGCGGCGGACGGGUGAGUAACACGUGGAUACCCUACCUAUCAUACUGGUAUAUUUUCGGGAAUCCGGAUCUAAUACCGGAGAAUAUAUUGAUCCGCAUUGUUCAAUAGUGAAAUUCGGCUUUUCUGUCACUUCUCGAUGCAUCCGGGCCGCAUUAUCUAGUUGGUAAGUUAACGGCUUACCAAGGCAACGAUGCGUACCCGACCUGAGAGAGUGAUCGGCCACACUGGAGGUGUGACACGGACAAGAGUACUGCGGGAGGCAGCAGUAGGGAAUCUGCCGCAAUAGGCGAAAACCUGACGGAACAACGCCGCGUGAGUGAUAAAGGUCUUCGGAUCGUGAAACUCUGUUAUUAGGGAAGAACAAAUGUGUAAGUAGCUAUGCACGUAUUGACGGUACCUGGUAAGAAAGCAACGGCUAACUACGUG
rnacentral:rRNA from 1 species